UACGAAGGGGGCUAGCGUUGUUCGGAUUUACUGGGCGUAAAGCGCACGUAGGCGGAUCGAUCAGUCAGGGGUGAAAUCCUGGAGCUCAACUCCAGAACUGCCUUUGAUACUGGCGAUCUCGAGUCCGGGAGAGGUGAGUGGAACUGCGAGUGUAGAGGUGAAAUUCGUAGAUAUUCGCAAGAACACCAGUGGCGAAGGCGGCUCACUGGCCCGGUACUGACGCUGAGGUGCGAAAGCGUGGGGAGCAAACAGG
rnacentral:rRNA from 1 species